UACGUAGGUGGCAAGCGUUUGUCCGGAAUUAUUGGGCGUAAAGCGCGCGCAGGCGGUCCUUUAAGUCUGAUGUGAAAGCCCACGGCUCAACCGUGGAGGGUCAUUGGAAACUGGGGGGACUUGAGUGCAGAAGAGGAAAGCGGAAUUCCACGUGUAGCGGUGAAAUGCGUAGAGAUGUGGAGGAACACCAGUGGCGAAGGCGGCUUUCUGGUCUGUAACUGACGCUGAGGCGCGAAAGCGUGGGGAGCAAACAGG
rnacentral:rRNA from 1 species